GGCGCGACCGCGGGCGCGGCCGGCGGCGGCUUUGACGGCGGGACCGGGGUGGCGGCCGGCGCGGGGGUCGCUGGGGUCGGCGGCGAGUUGGCUGGCGCCGCGGGGGUGGCCGUGGGCGCGAGCGCUGCCGGUGUCGUCGGUGCAGCAGGUGUCGUCGGCGCAGCAGGAGUCGUCGGCGCUGCCGGUGUCGUCGGUGCAGCUGGUGUCGUCGGUGCAGCAGGUGUCGUGGGCGCAGCCGGUGUCGUCGGUGCAGCAGGUGUCGUCGGCGUCGCAGGAGUCGUCGGUGCGGCUGGUGUCGUUGGCGCUGCCGGUGUCGUGGGCGCAGCCGGGGUCGUGGGUGCAGCAGGCGUCGUUGGCGACUGCGCCACGGCGGCGCCGAGGUGGAGCGCGAGGACGGCGGCGAGCACGGCGAUGCGGCGCCAUUGCCGGAGCAGCGGCGGCGCGGCCAUGCUGUUGGCGCGGUGCGGAUGCCGAGCUAGCUCGCUGACGGGAAUGCGGUCGAUGGAUCUCGCGCCGACCGAUGAAGCAG
rnacentral:lncRNA from 1 species